rnacentral:rRNA from 1 species
AACGAACGCUGGCGGCGCGCCUAACACAUGCAAGUCGAACGAGAAUCCGGGGCAACCCGGUAGUAAAGUGGCAAACGGGUGAGGAAUACAUGGGUAACCUACCCUUGAGAAGGGAAUAACCCGCCGAAAGGUGAGCUAAUACCCUAUACGCUAUCCUUUUUUCGAAAAGGAUAGGAAAGCCGGGUCGAGGACCUGGUACUCAAGGAGGGGCUCAUGUCCUAUCAGCUUGUUGGUGGGGUAACGGCCUACCAAGGCUACGACGGGUAGCUGGUCUGAGAGGAUGAUCAGCCACACUGGCACUGAGAUACGGGCCAGACUCCUACGGGAGGCAGCAGUGAGGAAUAUUGCGCAAUGGGCGAAAGCCUGACGCAGCAACGCCGCGUGGGUGAUGAAGGCCCUUGGGUCGUAAAGCCCUGUCUGGAGGAAAGAAUCCCGCUCUCGCUAAUACCGGGAGUGGAUGACGGUACCUCUGAAGGAAGCACCGGCUAACUCCGUGCCAGCAGCCGCGGUAAUGU